rnacentral:lncRNA from 1 species
UGCCCUCACCUCUCAUGCUCUUCCUCUCCUAUCAGAAAGCCUUUCCAGGGGAGAUCUCUGGCCUUGACAUGCUCCAUGAUGGGGCCAAAUCACCUUGCAGGAGAAAAGUGAAUUAGUUCUGAGUUGGAGGUGUCAGACCCUCUUGGCUGAUGUUUUGAACUGGGUUUCUAGGUUGUUUCUGCCUGAAGGUCACAAGUGGCUGCAUGGUGUCUUGUUCACAGUCUCCUGGACACAAGCUUUAUGGGGGUUUCUCCAGGUUCCCAGAAAGGUAUGAAAGCUCAUUCUAUUUGUGUGUCCAAGGAAAACCUGCUGCACGUUCCACAAGAAAACAGUGAGAGGCUCUUGGGACUUCUUAUCUUCCUGCAGCAGUUUAAUAGCCACGAGCACUGUUCUGUAUAUCGUUUUUUCUGCAAUGUCUAUAUAACUUUG